UUGAACGCUGGCGGCAGGCCUAACACAUGCAAGUCGCGCGGAUGAAGGGAGCUUGCUCCUGGAUUCAGCGGCGGACGGGUGAGUAAUGCCUAGGAAUCUGUCUGGUAGUGGGGGAUAACGUCCGGAAACGGGCGCUAAUACCGCAUACGUCCUGAGGGAGAAAGUGGGGGAUCUUCGGACCUCACGCUAUCAGAUGAGCCUAGGUCGGAUUAGCUAGUUGGUGGGGUAAAGGCCUACCAAGGCGACGAUCCGUAACUGGUCUGAGAGGAUGAUCAGUCACACUGGAACUGAGACACGGUCCAGACUCCUACGGGAGGCAGCAGUGGGGAAUAUUGGACAAUGGGCGAAAGCCUGAUCCAGCCAUGCCGCGUGUGUGAAGAAGGUCUUCGGAUUGUAAAGCACUUUAAGUUGGGAGGAAGGGCAGUAAGUUAAUACCUUGCUGUUUUGACGUUACCAACAGAAUAAGCACCGGCUAACUUCGUG
rnacentral:rRNA from 1 species